rnacentral:tRNA from 1 species
GAAAUAUUUAUUCUUAAGCUUCUAACUUAAAUUAAAGCGUUAAAUCGUUUAUAUUUCU